rnacentral:rRNA from 1 species
AACGAACGCUGGCGGCAUGCCUAACACAUGCAAGUCGAACGAAGGCUUCGGCCUUAGUGGCGCACGGGUGCGUAACGCGUGGGAACCUGCCCCUCGGUUCGGAAUAACAGUUAGAAAUGACUGCUAAUACCGGAUGAUGACUUCGGUCCAAAGACUUAUCGCCGAGGGAUGGGCCCGCGUAGGAUUAGCUAGUUGGUGGGGUAAAGGCCUACCAAGGCGACGAUCCUUAGCUGGUCUGAGAGGAUGAUCAGCCACACUGGGACUGAGACACGGCCCAGACUCCUACGGGAGGCAGCAGUGGGGAAUAUUGGACAAUGGGCGAAAGCCUGAUCCAGCAAUGCCGCGUGAGUGAUGAAGGCCUUAGGGUUGUAAAGCUCUUUUACCAGGGAUGAUAAUGACAGUACCUGGAGAAUAAGCUCCGGCUAACUCCGUG